rnacentral:misc_RNA from 1 species
UGCCCGUUCGAGCGUCAUUACACCACUCAAGCCUCGCUUGGUAUUGGGCACCGGGAGACCCCCGCGCCCCUAUUUCACCGGCUGGACGGUUCGAAUCUCAGCGUUGUGGUUAUUCAAUUCGCUGGCGAGGAGACCGGGCGCGCCGUUAAACCACAUCACAGGUUGACCUCGGAUCGGGUAGGGAUACCCGCUGAACUUAA